UUCAUUUUUCCUUCGUUUUCUCAAACCCUUGCGCUGCUCACCCUUUUAGUCUUCGCUGCUUCCGUUCAUACCUCACCGUCAUCGUUUGUCGUCGAGGUAAGACCGUUGGUCACGUUACACCUGAUUUCUUGAUCGACGAACACCGCCGGUUUUGUAAUUUGUAAUCUAAACCGCCAGCCGAAAUUUGCUUCGUUCCCGUCACUUCUCCGCCGCCGUAGGGGUUCUUUUCGGCCGUUCAAGGCCACCUUGAGACCGGGUUAUCGUCGGGGAAGGCCUAACCGACCUCGGUUGCGGCUGAACAACCCCGUUUUCGUCAUAAAACCACUGCUGCCUCUUUCCGGAAACACUGUCUCCGGCCGUUUAAGGCCACGGCAAGGCUGGCCGUGAGAUCCUCGACCUUUGGGACUGCUCAGUUAUCGAACUGUAAUCAGAAUUACCGUCCCCUUCGCCUUUGCUGUUAUUUUUGAAAUGACUCGAAUUACAAGAACGUCCGAGCGGAUUCAGUUUGACCCAUUGUUUGAGCUGACCAUGGGAGUUAAUACGAUCUUCGUUGGCUGUUUUGUCGAGUUCAAAGGCCUGCAAAAUACGCCAAGCAGCUUAAAGUCUCAUCUGAAGAUAAAGCCAAGCCAACUGGUGAAGUUGUGUAAGAAAAGCGGGAAAUUUUGGAUGCCCUAAUCUCGUACGAAAUGAACACAGUCGAAAACCAAAGCGAAGCUCCAUUCAUCAAAGCUUUGGUCCUCUCUUCAACCUCACGGAAAUCCACUUAUGGGACGAUGAUUUCACGGAGUUCGGGAUUUUUCUUUCUUAUCUGACAGCAAUUAUUUAAAUGCAGAAAUCAUCUCGACAAAACGAUAAGAACCGCUCAAGAACUUUUCACGCAACCUGUGGCAAG